UACGGGGGGGGCAAGCGUUGUUCGGAAUUACUGGGCGUAAAGGGCUCGUAGGCGGCCAACUAAGUCAUACGUGAAAUCCCUCGGCUUAACCGGGGAACUGCGUCUGAUACUGGAUGGCUUGAGUUCGGGAGAGGGAUGCGGAAUUCCAGGUGUAGCGGUGAAAUGCGUAGAUAUCGGGAGGAACAUCAGUGGCGAAGGCGGCUGCCUGGCCCAAUACUGACACUCAGGUGCGACAGCGUGGGGAGCAAACAGG
rnacentral:rRNA from 1 species